rnacentral:lncRNA from 1 species
GCUUCCUGCUCAGCCUUCCACCAGUUUUAUGAGACUGAUGAGUGACAGAGCCUUUCAGUGAUGUGGAGAGCAGGCAAGAAAGCACGUGUCCUAAGUUGCGUAGAGAGUUCAAGUAACGUGAUGACAAAAGCAGGAAUCUCACGGACUCUCACAAAGAGGAAAAGAAAGUGACUUAUUAUUUGAGAAGUCCUCACUGCCUAUGGCUAAAAAAACCAGAUCAGCACUACUGGGGAAGAAAAUGCACGACCAGAGACACUUCUAAGAACCCAAGGUCCUACCAGACCACCAUCGCCCUCAUGCUUCGCUGUGCAUGCUUUUUGCAGAGGACGGCGGAUGCCCUGCGGGAAAUUGCCAUCAGAGCUGGAGUGAUCAUCUCGGAGCCAAACUUUCCAGGUCAUCGCAGAAAGAAUCUCUCGCGUCAGUUAUUUGUCCUUGACAAACUGGACUAUGACAUUUCCCAAUGCUUUGAAAAGUUGUGUGUUGACAAAAAUAAACAAAGACUUUUUUUUUCUCCUCAUAUAUACAUCUGUCAAUAUUUUACAAUAUUUUGUAAGCAGCCUUGAUACCGGGCAUUUUGGGGCAUCUUGAAUAUACAGAAGUUUUCCCAUGCGUACUGUACAUUCAUUAAUCAUUGCACCAGAAUCCCUUUUCUACCAAAUCAGGUUCUUCCUCCUUAAGUCUUCAACAAAGACAUUUUUUUGACAAAGAUGUUUUUUGAAGGAGAGUGAGCAAACCCAAAGUGAAGUCCAGAGAGAGAAGUUCUACUUACACCGAAGUUACGACCACAACCAUUUAUGGAAUGUUCCUGUUUUUUGUUUGGUCUUUUUUUUUGGGGGGGGGUGCCCACAGCAUGUGGAAGUUCUGGGGCCAGGGAUCCAACCUGUGCCACAGUAGUGACUCGAGCCACUGCAGUGACGAAGCUAGAUCCUUAACCUGCUGAGCCACCAGGGAACUCCUGAAAUAGUCCUCUCUUAUCCCCCAAAGGCAGAGAGAGGAGAAGGGAAAGAGUGACAGAGAGAGGAAUUCAACCCACAUUCCUGAUUAUCCAGGCCCUCAGGUCUCUGAGGAAGGGUUUUCUGAAUCAGUAAUGAAGCAUCAAUUACGUUAAGUAAAGGGGCAUUAGAGACGUGAGGAAACCAUGAGUCAUUGAAAGGUCUGGGGGAUUACUAGAAGCCUUACAUUUAGCUUACGAUUUAACUGAUCUCCUUUCAUUUGGUCUUCUGGAUCAUAUUUGAUUUAGAGCUUUUUACAGUAUGAACCAUACAUAGUAUUCUUGCCGUUGACAUGCUGCUUAAUUCCCUGAAGUCUUCAUCAAAUUCCGUUUUAAUAUAUCUUUCAUCACUCUAUUAUAGUCUGUCUGGUGAUGUCAGCUUUUCUGAAGAUAAGUCUAUCCUGCUGGUAUUUUUUUUUUAUUCCUUCCACAGAGUUUGAACUCUAUGAUCUGUGCUCUUUUAUUUUGUAAGGUGUAAACUUUUUCCACACCAAAAGUUUUUUUCAUAAAAAAGACCUGACAUCUCUUUACAGAUGUUAAUUAAUUCCCUCACUGGGAAGUAUUCCAUGUAUUUUGCAUCCUUGGGAAACGGGGACAGAGAGCGAAGUGACAUAUUGAAAUCAUGUAAAAACUCGGCGCCAGAGCUCGAAUUAUUACCCAGGAGAUAAAUUCGCACUCUUCGCUUCAGAGAGCAAUUGUAUUCUGAACUUGACACAAAUAAUGAUCAAAAAAUCAAAUCAUCAAGUAGAAGAGACCUGCCUGAGUUCCCGCCACUGACAUGCAAACCUACAGAGAAACUUACUCUUCAAGCAGGGGUAGCCGCUAAGAUGGACAGUGAAACUCGUAUUACCAAGAUUUUAUUACCGUGUGCAUACACACACACAGCAGGAUUUUUAGUAUCCUACUACGAAGUGUUAUUUGAAAUCAUUAAAACUAAACUGCACCUGUCAAAAUAAAUCAACCAAUACGUUUAGUGAUUC